rnacentral:ncRNA from 1 species
UUACAUAUUUGGCAAACUUACUGAAAGGUAGGGACGCAAAGCUAUGGGUCUAAGGACAUUUGGUCUAUGAUUGCCAGGUUUCCCUU